GUUCCACGGGGCACCGGACGUGGCGGCGCUGUUUCCGCCGGUGCGCUUGGCGUUGAUCGUGACCGUGGUGAAGCGC
rnacentral:tRNA from 1 species